rnacentral:rRNA from 1 species
GUCUAUGGCUAUGCUACCCUGAACAAGCCCAAUCCCAUCUGGUCUUGGAAGCUAAACAGGGUCAGGCCUGGUUAGUACUUGAAUGGAAGAUCACCUAGGAAGACCAGGUGUUAUAGGCG